rnacentral:rRNA from 1 species
UACGGGGGGGGCAAGCGUUGUUCGGAAUCAUUGGGCGUAAAGGGCGCGUAGGCGGUGCGGUAAGUCUUCUGUGAAACCUCUGGGCUCAACCCAGAGCCUGCAGGAGAGACUGCCGUGCUGGAGUAUGGGAGAGGUGCGUGGAAUUCCCGGUGUAGCGGGGAAAUGCGUAGAGAACGGGAGGAACACCUGCGGGGAAGGCGGCGCACUGGGCCAGUACUGACGCUGAGAGCGCGAAAGCUAGGGGAGCAAACAGG